rnacentral:rRNA from 1 species
UACAGAGGUCCCAAGCGUUGUUCGGAUUCACUGGGCGUAAAGGGUGCGUAGGUGGCCGGUUAAGUCUGACGUGAAAUCUCCGAGCCUAACUCGGAAACUGCAUCGGAAACUAUCCGGCUCGAGGGUUGGAGGGGGGACCGGAAUACUUGGUGUAGCAGUGAAAUGCGUAGAUAUCAAGUGGAACACCAGUGGCGAAGGCGAGUCCCUGGACAACUCCUGACACUGAGGCACGAAAGCUAGGGGAGCAAACAGG